GGGUUCGUAGCUCAGUUGGUUAGAGCGCUACCUUGACAUGGUAGAGGUCACAGGUUCGAAUCCUGUUGGACCCACCA
rnacentral:tRNA from 1 species